rnacentral:rRNA from 1 species
UCUCCUACGGGAGGCAGCAGUCGGGAAUAUUGCGCAAUGGAGGAAACUCUGACGCAGUGACGCCGCGUAUAGGAAGAAGGUUUUCGGAUUGUAAACUAUUGUCGUUAGGGAAGAUAAAAGACUGUACCUAAGGAGGAAGCCCCGGCUAACUAUGUGCCAGCAGCCGCGGUAAUACGUAGGGGGCAAGCGUUAUCCGGAUUUACUGGGUGUAAAGGGAGCGUAGACGGCAAUACAGGUCGGAAGUGAAAUACCCGGGCUUAACCUGGGAACUGCUUUGGAAACUGUAUGGCUGGAGUGCUGGAGAG